GACGAACGCUGGCGGCGUGCUUAACACAUGCAAGUCGAACGGUAAGGCUCCAGCUUGCUGGGGUACACGAGUGGCGAACGGGUGAGUAACACGUGGGUGACCUGCCCUGCACUUCGGGAUAAGCCUGGGAAACUGGGUCUAAUACCGGAUAGGACCGCACCGUGAGGGUGUGGUGGAAAGUUUUUUCGGUGUGGGAUGGGCCCGCGGCCUAUCAGCUUGUUGGUGGGGUAAUGGCCUACCAAGGCGGCGACGGGUAGCCGGCCUGAGAGGGUGGACGGCCACAUUGGGACUGAGACACGGCCCACACUCCUACGGGAGGCAGCAGUGGGGAAUAUUGCACAAUGGGCGGAAGCCUGAUGCAGCGACGCCGCGUGGGGGAUGACGGCCUUCGGGUUGUAAACUCCUUUCACCAUCGACGAAGGGUUUCUGACGGUAGAUGGAGAAGAAGCACCGGCUAACUACGUGCCAGCAGCCGCGGUAAUACGUAGGGUGCGAGCGUUGUCCGGAAUUACUGGGCGUAAAGAGCUCGUAGGUGGUUUGUCGCGUCGUCUGUGAAAUUCCGGGGCUUAACUCCGGGCGUGCAGGCGAUACGGGCAUAACUUGAGUACUGUAGGGGAGACUGGAAUUCCUGGUGUAGCGGUGAAAUGCGCAGAUAUCAGGAGGAACACCGGUGGCGAAGGCGGGUCUCUGGGCAGUAACUGACGCUGAGGAGCGAAAGCAUGGGGAGCGAACAGGAUUAGAUACCCUGGUAGUCCAUGCCGUAAACGGUGGGCGCUAGGUGUGGGUUUCCUUCCACGGGAUCCGUGCCGUAGCUAACGCAUUAAGCGCCCCGCCUGGGGAGUACGGCCGCAAGGCUAAAACUCAAAGGAAUUGACGGGGGCCCGCACAAGCGGCGGAGCAUGUGGAUUAAUUCGAUGCAACGCGAAGAACCUUACCUGGGCUUGACAUAUACAGGAUCGCGCCAGAGAUGGUGUUUCCCUUGUGGCUUGUAUACAGGUGGUGCAUGGUUGUCGUCAGCUCGUGUCGUGAGAUGUUGGGUUAAGUCCCGCAACGAGCGCAACCCUUGUCUUAUGUUGCCAGCACGUUGUGGUGGGGACUCGUAAGAAACUGCCGGGGUUAACUCGGAGGAAGGUGGGGAUGACGUCAAAUCAUCAUGCCCCUUAUGUCCAGGGCUUCACACAUGCUACAAUGGUCGGUACAGUGGGUUGCCAGUCCGUGAGGGCGAGCUAAUCCCGCAAAGCCGGUCUCAGUUCGGAUCGGGGUCUGCAACUCGACCCCGUGAAGUCNGAGUCGCUAGUAAUCGCAGAUCAGCAAACGCUGCGUGAAUACGUUCCCGGGNCU
rnacentral:rRNA from 1 species